UUCUUUUUUUUCUUUUUGUUUUUUUGUUGAUGCUGAUGCUGGGGAUGGAACGUGUGGCCUUGCACAUGCACUUGGUGACUAAGCCAACAGCCAGAUGUUUAGAUUGUAAGUGUAGGAGAACUUGGGGACCAAGAGAUAGGACUGCAGAUUUCAACUUAAUCUCAUAUCUCUUCCUGAUAAUUUAUAAGGUCUGGGAAACAGUUCAGGAAAUACUGUCUUUGGAUAGGGUAGGAGUGGGAGCAGCUGCAUAGUCACUAAUUGUAUUUGCCAAGAAGACCUUGGGGGAUGGUGGGAUGGCCCUGUGGGUGAAAGCAAUUGUCGUUUCAAGCCCCAGGUCCCAUGGUUGAAGGAGAAAGUCACUCCCUUCCUGAAAUUUGUCCUGCUGUCUGCACACACAGUGUGGCAUUGUGUACUCACUCAGAGAGAUACACUAAUGAUAGCAAGAAUAAAAAAAUAAGUAAUUAAAAAAAGCCUCUGGGGGUCUGUCAGGAUGACUUAGAUGGCAAAGGUCGUGCCUUCAAGCCUGAGUCCUAUCUCGGGACCUAUAUUAGGUAGGAGACUCCCACAAGUUGUCCUCUGACCCCUACAUGCACACAAUAAAUUAAAGUGUUAAGUGGAGAAAGCAUUCUUUGGAUUCUUACAAGCCAAUGUUCUGAAACAUCUAAGGAAGCCAUAUUUGCACUUUGUGCAUAUUGUGGCUGUGCACAAGACUGAUGCUGUGUGUGUGUAUGGGCUUGUGAACUUAGGGUACAUGAACUGAAAGGGCUAUGUUGCUCUCCAUCUUGCUGUUGACACAGAGAGUUUGGUGCCUUUGUUCUUGUUUCAGAGAAGUGUUUCAAUGUAUUUUCUCAUGUAAAUCUGUGCUUUUGGGGGUGGGAGUGCGCUGGUCUUGUACAUUUUUGAUUCUUUGUAUCCCUGGUUGGCUUGAAACUUACUCUGUAGCUGUGUAUACCAAGCUGCUUUCAACUGCUCAAUCUUCCUGCUUCAGUCUUCAGUUUCCCAAAAUUAUAGGCCAGUAUCACCAUGCAAAGCAAUUCAUGCUUUUUUUUUUUAAAUGUAUAUGAGUGUUUUGUCCGCAGUUAUGUCUGCAUACCACACAUGUGCCUGGUGCCCUUGGAGGCUAGACAGGGUGUUAAAUCCCCUGAAACUGGAGUUAUAGACAGUAGUGAACUGCUGUGUGAUGGGAACCCAACCUGCAUGCUCUGAAAGAACAGCCAGUGUUCUUAACUGCUGAGCCAUCUCUCCAGCCCAAUUUGUGCACUUUUAAACCUAAAGUUAAACAUUGUAAAGAUUCUGGGCUGGGCAUGGUGGUCUUCUGUGAGUUCAAGGCCAGCCUGGUUUACAUAGAGAGAACUAGUCUCAAGGAAAACAAGCAAGCAGCCUGGACAAGUAGUUUACUCCUUUGAUCCCGGGCUAAGGGAGGCAGAGGCAGGUAGGUGGGUCUCUGAGUUCCAGGCCACACGGUCUACAGAGUGAGUUUUAGGACAGUCAGGGAAACCCUGUCUUGAAACACCAAAAGGAUCUUUUGCUAAUUUUUAGUGAUAAAUCUAAAAUGUACACUGUAAAAUU
rnacentral:lncRNA from 1 species